AUGCAAGUCGAGGGGCAGCGCGAGGUAGCAAUACCUUGGCGGCGACCGGCGCAAGGGUGCGUAACGCGUGAGCAAUCUGCCCGUAUCAGGGGGAUAAGCGAUGGAAACGUCGUCUAAUACCGCAUAACACAUUGGGAGGCAUCUUCCGAUGUUGAAAGCUUCGGUGGAUACGGAUGAGCUCGCGAGACAUUAGUUAGUUGGCGGGGUAACGGCCCACCAAGACCGCGAUGUCUAGGGGAACUGAGAGGUUGGUCCCCCACACUGGAACUGAGACACGGUCCAGACUCCUACGGGAGGCAGCAGUGAGGAAUAUUGGACAAUGGCCGGAAGCUGAUCCAGCCAUGCCGCGUGAAGGAAUAAGGUCCUAUGGAUUGUAAACUUCUUUUGAGUGGGAGCAAUAAGGGUGUCGUGACACCCGAUGAGAGUACCAUUCGAAUAAGCAUCGGCUAACUCCGUGCCAGCAGCCGCGGUAAUACGGAGGAUGCGAGCGUUAUCCGGAUUUAUUGGGUUUAAAGGGUGCGUACGCGGUUUGUCAA
rnacentral:rRNA from 1 species